rnacentral:rRNA from 1 species
CUACGGGCGGCUGCAGUAAGGAAUAUUGGACAAUGCCCGCAAGGGUGAUCCAGCCAUGCCGCGUGCAGGAAGACGGCCCUAUGGGUUGUAAACUGCUUUUGUACGGGAGAAAACCCCCUUUCGUGAAAGGGGCUGAUAGUACCGUAAGAAUAAGCAUCGGCUAACUUCGUGCCAGCAGCCGCGGUAAGACGAAGGAUGCAAGCGUUAUCCGGAUUUAUUGGGUUUAAAGGGUGCGUAGGCGGCCAAUAAGUCAGUGGUGAAAGCCGAUAGCUUAACUAUCGAACUGCCAUUGAUACUGGUUGGCUUGAGUGCAGUUGCUGUGGGCGGAAUAUGACAUGUAGCGGUGAAAUGCAUAGAUAUGUCAUAGAACACCGAUUGCGAAGGCAGCUCACAAAGCUGUAACUGACGCUGAGGCACGAAAGCGUGGGGAUCAAACAGGAUUAGAUACCCGCGUAGUC